rnacentral:lncRNA from 1 species
AUAAUUUUACUGAACGGACAAUGUGCGUGUUUAUUCAGUAAAUGUCUAUUUGUGCGGUCACGUGAUUUAUUCGAUAAAAUUAUUAACUUAUUCAGAAUGAAAUAUAUUUACUUCUUCGUAGAUCUCUAUCCUAUAAUAAUUCCGCAUGGAUGCAUGCACGCACUCUUUCUUUUAUCCAUCAAUAAAUAAACGAAACAAACUCUCUAAUUUGCCCUAAAUAUCUCAUGUAUUUAUUAGAGAAACUUGCAAAACAAGAUAAUCCAGGAUUGAGUUCUAAUACAACUAUCCCAACCCUUGGAUCUCCUAUUUUAAUCUUGUAUCCUUAAACCAGAUACAAUUCAUAAAAAGGUUAAUAAUGUUUUAUGUCCCGAACUUUCAGCGUUUUCCAUAAAAUACCUCGAACUUUCAUUUUCUCCUAAUAAACUCCGAAGUUUCAAUUUUUUUCCAUAAAAUGUCCCGAUAUAUAAAAUUCGAUGACGAAAAGAUGAUUUAUCUCGCCGAAUGAAAUACUUUAGGGAUCGUUAUUGUUGGAAAAUCAUAUUAGGAACCAGCAUUGUUGGAAAACGUUGAAAGUUCGGAGUUUUUUGUCAUCUUUUCGUCUUUGAAUUUUGUAUAGCGGGACAUUUUAUGGAAAAAACUAAAAGUUCGGUGUUUAUUAGGAGAAAAUAAAAGUUCGAAACAUUUUAUAGAAAAUGCUGAAAGUUCGGGACAUAAAACACUAUUAACC